rnacentral:lncRNA from 1 species
UAGAAAAAUAAAAAGACCAAAAAGAUGCAUAAUGGAAAUGAUGAGCAGUUGCUCUGUUUGCUUACUUUCGAGUACCUAGCUUUUAUAUUAGAGUUCUUCCAGGAAUUACUAAAACUUACUAUCUUUGGGAAGCAUAAAACUAAUGUCUAGGUAAGAGAAAGGCAUGAUAUAAAGUUGAGCUGCUAUUUAUCUUGUUCCUACUACACUAAGUUCUGGAGAUUUAUUUUGAAAACUUACAAAUCACAUGAUGAGUUCCUAGCAUUACAACUACCUACCACAGCCAUACUUGCUAUAACAUGUUUUACUAUAUUUACAUUAAGUUUGAUCGAGCUGUGUAGACCCUUAGGAGCUUUUCAUGUGGUUAAAUUAAGAUAUUCACAUGCACACAUCUACUACACCAUCCAUCACCAUUCAUUAAAAUUGCUAAAAUUAUUAUCACUCACUAUCCCAAAUAUUGUUAUUCUCUCUCUAAAAAGUUUCAAUGCAGAAGAGGCAUGGGUUAUGCAAAAAUAUGCGAGGAAAUAAAAAGGGGCAAGUGCCCGGAACCUCAAAAAAGAAAGAAAAAGAGUGAGACGAGAGGUAAAAAUGGACAAGUGUUCGGAGUAGAAUUAGGGGUACAAAGAUGCCCACUUGAGCGGAAAAAAUGGACAAGUGUCCGACAGUAGAAUUAGGGGUAUCUACUACCCACCUGAAAAAAAAAAGAAGAAAAAGAAAGAAAAGAUAGCCCAUAUUCUCCCAAAGCAAAGAUCAGAGAAGAGGAGAGAUAACAAUAUGAGGAGCAAUGAGAACUAAGUUUUAUUAUCACUUAUGCAUUUUUACCAUCACUAUCUUUUUACUCCAUCACACAUGCACAUCUUGAUUUAAUUAUCUGCUGAGUUCCUUUGGAUCCAUGGCUCGAUUAGACAACAUAUGUAUGAGCUGUUUUUCACUCCUAUGAGAUCUACUUAAAUAUUCCAUUAGCUAUAGGUAAGUGACAUAUUGGUAAGGAUCCACAAAUACCACAUAUAGAGAGACUUGAGAGAAUCAUUGUUAGGAACUCUGAGUUUUAUUUUGAAAAACUUAUGAAAAACUCUAGAAUAAAGGUGAAGUAUAGACAGGAGGAAUAGUCCUUGACUUAAUUAUUUUGUCUUUCAAUUACUUAAGACUUAAGUGCAGGUACUAAACUCCAUAACACUUCACUCUAAUCUGGAAGAAUUUUUAUAUAAAAGCGUGUGUGCCUGUCAGGAAAGAAAACAUCGAAGCAACUCCUGAUCCGUCUGAGUUUAGCUAUUUGCUCACGGACGAGCAAAGGGUAAGCUUGGGGGAGUUUGUUGACGGUCCUUAAGUACUAAAAUUAAUAAUCAAAUAAACAUGAAAAAGGAUCAAUAUGAAACAAACAUCUAGAAUUAGGGUUUUAUCUGACAGAAUUCCACGGGCUUUGGUGUUUAUCUAUUUCUGCAGGGGGUUAUCAGAGAAUAUGGAGAGAAGGCCCACAUGUCAUGUUUACAACGAGAUAAUUACAUGCCGCGCAAUUUUCUUCAAUCUAGAAGAGUCCAGAAGCCACGGGAACGAACGAGAAGAGGAUCGGGCUCGGGGGCAGGGCGCCCGCCCACCGCCCUUGGGCGCCCGCCCAGGCCAGGAGUCCAAUCAGGACUCUGCUUCGGGGCUAAACUCCACUGACCUAAAGGAUCAAUCUAAACCACACAAUCAAUGUCGGUUUGAUCCGACGGCUCAAAUUCACUUGAAAGGACUAUAUAACCAAGGCCUCUCCCCCCUGGAGGAGAGAGGAGAAGAGAAGAAAUCAUUAUUCAGAGGUAGCCAUCAAAGUUAGGGUUUAGAGCUUCUCUCCCACAGAGAAUUAGAAUUAGCUACUCCCUAAUCUUUCAAGUUUAGAGGUUUGAUUAGAUAGCAAUUAGAGAAGUAGAGCACUACGCUCUGGAUUCGGAUCUUCGGUAAUAAAGAUUGGUAUUAUUCAUAUCUUUCUCUAAUUCUUUGUUCUAAUUGCAUUAUGUCUCUAAUUAUUAUGUCAUUAGUUUGUUCUAGUUCUAUAUUUGAUAUACAUCUAAUUGAUAAUGAGUUUAUGUAUAAGUUUGCAAAGCGCUUAGCUCUUGACGCGAGGGAGUGAGGUGAUAGAUCACAUGUGAGCGUGGUGCAUAGAUGUUAUUUAUCUGCAAAUGUAUCCUAUUGGCCGGGUCGUGUGGUAGUUCGCGAUAGUGACAGCUUCGUUGAUUCUUAUAUAGUCCACCCUCCGUUGAUAGGAUAGGCAGAACCGGUAUUGUGGAGUAAGUCUUGCGAUGCUUUGAUUUACUUUAGCAAUGUUCCUUAAACAUGAAUGAAGAGUCUUUUAUGCUAUAUAUGAUCUUGUAGAUAACUAGAGUAGAUUAUGACUUAGUAGUUAGUAGAUAACUUAGAAUCCAUUCUCUAGCUAAUCUGACAUCACCUACAUAUAUGAGGAGUAGUCUAUUUUCUAAUCGCUGUGUUAUUUAUCCCUUUAACUUCUAAUUCAUUAUCAUUAUCUUUAUGGUUUACCCCCUGCUAAAGUAAGUGACUGUGCGACGAGUUUCUCAUUAGUAAUCAUGUUCUUGCAAGUUUAUCUCUAGUCUAUGCCUUGAUAGAUUUUGCCCUUAAUUUAAUCUCCUUAGAUCCCUUGAGCAAAAUUAUAAAUAACGAUACCAGGAAUACUUAUCCUGGUGAAAUGCUACAAUGAGGUGUUUUAUCUGUGCGCUUGCAGAUAGAAUAGAUUAUUUUCUAAAGAGCCUUUACAUUUAUAAAUACCUUUGUACACUCUGGCACCAUGCUGGGGAUGACAACCUAGUAUCUAAGUGGUGUUAGCUAGUGUCAACAAAAUAAUCGCAUAAAACAGCUACUAAUUGAGAAAUCAUAACAAGGCACCUCUGCUUUGGCAGGUUCACCCUGUUGUUUUUCUAUGUUUAUAUUUUUAUAGAGGGUAUAUCAGGAUUGACUUUGGGUACAUUCAACUCUUCAUCAUCAGAACCAAAGCAAUCAAGAAAGAAAGAAAGAAGAAGCUAGCUACAAAUUGCUGAAGCUAUGGCACAGAAGACCCUACAAGAAUUCUCUGCUCCAAGUCUUGAGAACAUUCCAACUAGUCCAAGAUUUGUAGUAGAAGAAGGAGUACCCAAGUUUGAGCUUAAGUCAAGCCUCAUCAAUUUGGUGCAAGCUACACAAUUCAGUGGAAAGGCACAUGAAGAUGCUAGUGCACACUUGCAGAAUUUCUUAGAGAUUGGAAGCACAAUCCACAUCAACGGAGUCGACAAAGACGUCAUACUGCUUCGCCUGUUUCCAUUCUCACUAGAAGGAAAAGCGAGGAUGUGGUUCUACACUCAUCAAGAUAACAUCAACAACUGGACGAACUUGUCAGAUGCCUUUCUAUCAAAGUUUUUCCCUAUAGGCAAAACAACUGCCUUAAGAGGAAAUAUUGUCAGUUUCCAACAGCAGAAGAUAGAAACUAUUUCAGAAGCAUGGGAGCAUUUUCAAGGAUACAUAUCAGAUUGUCUUCACCAUGGAAUGGCCACAUGGUUACUUAUGCAGACCUUCUACCAUGGAUUAACCCAGAAGGCUCGUGAGUGCCUAGAUGCAUCUGCUAAAGGAUCAUUAUUGGAGCUUACAACUGGGAAAGCAGAGAUACUUUUGGAUAAGAUAGCAGAAAACCAAAGCUGGUUCCAAGAUAAGGCUCAACAAUGUCAUCAAACUGAAGAAAUACCAGAAGAAGUAAAUGCAUUAUCAACUAAGAUGGAAAAUUUGCUCCAUUGGAUUGACCAGAGGGCCAAGUUUAAAGAAGAUCAAAGGGCCAUCAAGACAGCAUAUAAAUAUCAAACCACUUCGAGUCAACCCAGUAGCAAAGGUAUGAAUUCAGGUAAUACUUUCAAGCAGCUUUCAUUAAAAGAGAUAAUUGCUCAACAGACCAAAAUUAAUGAUGAAGUUAAACAAAGACUAGAUACAAAUGAAUCAUCUCUAAAGAUAUACACAAUAAAAUGGAUUUUCUGCUAACUGCCUUUGAUGAGCAAAACACUCUUAAUAAAAGGGUAGAGCUUAAAUUAAUAAAGCUAGCUGCUGCACUGCCUGUUGCUACUAACAUUGAGCAGGUAAAGAACAUAACUACUAGAGGAGGCAAAGCCACCAGAGAUCCCCCAUACCCAAAAGAGAAACAAAGAACAUCAGCACUAGUGCAACCAGCAGUGAUAGAAGAAGAAAGCCCAGUUGAAGUAGAAGAUCUGCUACAACCACCAAGAACUGGAGAAAUGAGAAAAGAUUUUUACGACACCAACUAUUUGCCAUUUCCUAGAAGAAACAAAGGACUGCAGUCGGAUGAGCAGUUUGGUAAGUUUGUAGAGGUCAUUCAGAAAUUAUAUGUCAACAUACCUCUGCUGGAUGCCAUACAGGUACCUACAUAUGCAAAGUACAUCAGAGAUAUUCUUAACAAGAAGAGACCACUGCCCACCACUGAGGUUAUCAAGCUGAUAGAAGAAUGUAGUGCGGCCAUCCUCAACAAACCACCAAGGAAGAAAAAGGAUCCAGGAUGCCCCACUAUUGAUUGCUCGAUCGGAAACCAACACUUCAACAAUGCACUUUGUGAUCUCGGAGCAAGUGUCAGUGUGAUGCAAGCAUCAGUCUACAAAAAGCUUGAGCAUACGACCCUAGAACCAACAUCAAUGUGCCUGCAACUAGCAGAUCAAUCAGUUCGACACCCAUUGGGUAUCGCCAAAAACAUUCUAGUCAAGAUCAGAGAUUUCCUGGUGCCAGUAGACUUCGUAGUACUGGACAUGAGUCCUGACUCAAAAGUGUCCAUCAUCCUUGGAAGGCCAUUUCUGAGCACUGCCAAUGCCCACAUUGAUGUCGGGAAGGGAAAAAUCAUGUUUAACAUAAACGGAAAGGAAGAACACUUCACAUUUAAUCCCAGACCAGAGAGAGACUCUACAGUAAAGGAAGUUCAUGAAGAAGAACCACUGGGGACACCAUCUCCAGAGGAAGGUAAUUUAGAAGAUUAAAAGAUUUGGAGGUCCAGCUUGGGGGACCUAAAGAUCCCAAACCCUCGCCGAGAGGUAAAUCGGUAUUUGUCCGCAUCAUUAAUUCUCGCAUAAUUAAUUAUUGCAUUUAGUCAUAUUUAUUCAUAGCAUUAUUAUUAUAAUAAAAAUCCCCAUAUAAAUAAUAUUUAUGGUGUGUAACAACCCAUAUUUUAUUAAUUAUUGUGGAGGCACAAAAAUAAUUUUCCAUUAUCAUUUCAAUAAGUUUUAGUUCUCAUAGAUUUUCUUGCAUUAUAUUUAAUUAUAUCAACCUUCUAGAAGCAUGACCCACACUCCUUGAGUCCCACAUGUCAUACACCACACCUCACAUACAUCCCAUCACAUUAUUUGAUCCACCAACAUAUCUCCACUAACCAGCACUUUUCCACCGGCCAACCACCACCCAUGAUGCAUUAUUUUGCGUGAACAUUAAGCAAAGGAAGGAGUGGAGAAAGGGCAGCCAGGAUGGGCACCACAAGUGGGCGCCCGCUCACCUACCAAGGGCACCCGCCCUGCCCCCUCUUCCUCCUAUAAAUAGCCACCUUCUACCUCCAUCCUCUCCACACAAGCACUCCAGAAAACCACACAAGUUUCAGUUUCCAGAGAAGGAGCUCUUGUAGUGGAGUAAGAAGAGAGUAGAUAAGAAGAGAAGAGUGGAAAAGAAGUUGGUAGUUUUUGUGUGAGAGAGUGAGUUUCACCUAGUAAGUAGUGAUCCCGCUGUCCAAGCGGAAGUAAAAGUUGUUUAGGGGGAGGCUCUGCCAAAAUAGAAACUUGUCUUGAACGACUAACCCCUGGACUACUGACAUUCCGGACAGCUGACCACUAACAUUUUCUCUCACAUUUUCCACUAGUUGUGUUUUUGCCAACUUUUGUUUAUAGGAUGUUUAAGAAGGUAAAGAACGUAGGGAAGGCUCUCAAGAACAUUGGUACAAGGAGUUCAUACCGACACUCCUCACACCCAUCAGAGAUGAGCGUCGACCCGACACCCACACAAGCUCCGUCAUCUUCAUCUAAUCAACAAGUCAAGGUCCUUCUCAAGAUAGGAGACCUAGGACUGAAGACCCGAAGGGAGAAGGAAGUCUAUCAGCAACUCAAGAACAAAGAUUUCAUUCACACCCCUACUCUUGAUCCAAUCCUACUACAAGAAACAGGUAUGGACACUGAAUUCAACUUAAUUUUCCAGAUGAUAGGUUGGACAAAUCUUUGGAAUAUAACUGAGCUGGGUUCUCGUCUUCUCACCCUCGAAUUUCUUUGCACUUUACAAUAUUAUGAGGGGGGAAUUGUUUCGGAUGUUCAAACAUGAGAUUAUGUUGUCUUGGAGAGAACUGAGCGACCAUCUUAGUUUCUCUUCAAGAUGCAUCCUGAACAUUGACUCCGACCUACCUAACUUUGAGAGACACCAGUUUUGGAGAGAGAUAUCUAGAGAUAAUUUUUAUAGUCAAGCCCGAACCAGUGACAUGGAACACCCCACUCUUAGGAUGUUCCACAAAUGGCUUGGGUACAAUUUUUUCUAUCGUGAUGAUAUUAGGAAAGUAAGAGUAGGAGAUUUACAACUUUUAUAUGCUGCUAUUAAUAAAGUACCCACUUCACCUGUUACACUUUUAGUUUCUCAUUGGCUUAGUAUACCUAGUCUUCAGGGACCAGUAGGAUGUACUUCACUUAUCACUCAUCUAGCCUCUAAUCUUCACUUGCUAGAAAACUCGUCGUUGGACUUCAUAGAUGAGUUAAGAAUUUAUCAUGGCUAUGACACAUUUAGACAAGCUCGGAUGCUAAAGAAAGAGGGGAAUAUAAUGUAUAUGCUAUAUGAUGAUAAAGGCAAGAUUCAGUUACCUAACCCGAACCUUGGCCUCUACGUCGUUCAAAAUUUUUUAAUUGAGAUUGCAGCAACACCGGUGAAUCAGAGAGCUCCACAACGACUGGCAUCUGAAAGGAUGACCACCCAUCGAGAACGCACCUGGUAUGGAGCUGAUCCCGGACCAGAAGAAGCAACGCUCCUGCAUUAUUGCGACUACAACCUUGAGUUCUUCGAGACCCAUGGGUUCGACAUGCGCAACCACAAGAGCCAACACAGGAGACAUGGCCGGAGAGCCAAGAUCACCAGUGGACAAACCCGCCUUUUCAUAUGGGCAGGUACUCCACUGAUCCAUAUGGAGCAUCAGGAUCCAGACCUCUGCCCCAAUUUGAUGCAGGACGAUACUCCGACGCCUCCUACGCUUUCACGAAUGACUACUAUGAAGAGGCCGGUGCUUUCUUCACCCGUACCGACAAAACUCUCCUCGACAUCUAGAACACGCAAGUAGAACAUGGACGACUCCUGGAAAAACAGCAGAAAUGGAACCAGGACCAUGCCACUGCAGUACAAGAGCUGAGACAAGAUACCACAACAUUGAAUGACAACAUCACAACCAUGAUGCGGUUCUGGAACAUCGGGUAAGACCGACAUCAACAUCCAGCUUGGGGGAGUUCCCCCCCAUUUUAUCAAGUAAGUUUUUAUUUACUCUUCUUAUUUAUUCAUUUUUGUUUUAGUGUUUUAUUUUAUCUUAAAAAGAAAAAUUUCGAAAACCCAAUAAAUAUUUUUUUGCUUUAAUUUACUGCAUUUUAUAAACAUGAAAACAAAAUAAAAAGAGUGUGUAGAUAAGUGUGCUUUAUUUAUGUGCUAAGUGUUAAUCUCUAGAAAAAUAAAAAGACCAAAAAGAUGCAUGAUGGAAAUGAUGAACAGUUGCUCUGUUUGCUUACUUACAAGUACCUAGCUUCUAUAUUAGAGUUCUUCCAGGAUUUACUAAAACUGAAUUUACUAUCUAUGAGAAGGAUAAAACAAAAGUCUAGGUAAGAGAAAGACAUGAUACAAAGUUUGAGCUACUGUUUAUCUUGUUCCUACUACACUAAGUUCUGGAGAUUUAUUUUGGAAACUUACAAAUCACGUGAUGAGUUCCUAGCAUAACAAACUACCUACCACAGCCAUACUUGCUAUAAUACCAUUUACUUAUAUUCACAUUGAGUUUGAUCGAGCUGUGUAGACCCUUAGGAGCUUUUCAUGUGGUUAAAUUAAGAUAUUCACUUGCACACAUCUACUACACCAUCCACCACCAUUCAUUAAAAUUGCUAAAAAAUAUUAUUAUCACUCACUGUCCCAAGUGUUGUUAUUCUCUCUCUCUCAAAAGAUUUAAUGCAGAAGAGGCAUGAAUAUGCGAGGAAAUAAAAAGGGGCAAGUGCCCGGAACCUCGAAAAAGAAAGAUAAAGAGUGAGACGAGAGGUAAAAAUGGACAAGUGUCCGGAGUAGAAUUAGGGGUACAAAGAUACCCACUUGAGCGGAAAAAAUGGACAAGUGUCCGACAGUAGAAUUAGGGGUAUCUACUACCCACCUGAAAAAAAAGAAAGAGAAAAAAAUAGCCCAUGUUCUCCCAAUGCAAAGAUCAAAAAGAAGAGGAGAGAUAGCAAUAUGAGGAGCAAUGAGAAGUAAGCUUUAUCAUCACUUAUAAAUUUUCACCAUUACUAUCAUUUACUCCACCACACAUGCACAUCUUGAUUUAAUUACAUGUUGAGUUCCUUUGGAUCCAUGGCUCGAUUAGACAACAUAUGUAUGAGCUGUUUUCACUCCUAUGAGCUCCACUUAAACAUUCCAUUAGCUAUAGGUAUGUGAUAUUUUGGUAAGGAUUCACAAAUACCACAUAUAUAGAGACUUAAGAGAAUCAUUACUGGGAACUCUGAGUUUUAUUUUGAAAACUUAUGAAAAACUCUAGAACAAAGGUGAAGUAUAGACAAGGAAUAGUGCUUGACUUAAUUAUUUUGUCUUUCGAUUACUUAAGACUCGAGUGCAGGUACUAAACUCCAUGACACUUCACUC